GCGGACGGGUGAGUAAUGCUUAGGAAUCUGCCUAUUAGUGGGGGACAACAUUCCGAAAGGAAUGCUAAUACCGCAUACGUCCUACGGGAGAAAGCAGGGGAUCUUCGGACCUUGCGCUAAUAGAUGAGCCUAAGUCGGAUUAGCUAGUUGGUGGGGUAAAGGCCUACCAAGGCGACGAUCUGUAGCGGGUCUGAGAGGAUGAUCCGCCACACUGGGACUGAGACACGGCCCAGACUCCUACGGGAGGCAGCAGUGGGGAAUAUUGGACAAUGGGGGGAACCCUGAUCCAGCCAUGCCGCGUGUGUGAAGAAGGCCUUAUGGUUGUAAAGCACUUUAAGCGAGGAGGAGGCUACUGAGACUAAUACUCUUGGAUAGUGGACGUUACUCGCAGAAUAAGCACCGGCUAACUCUGUGCCAGCAGCCGCGGUAAUACAGAGGGUGCGAGCGUUAAUCGGAUUUACUGGGCGUAAAGCGUGCGUAGGCGGCUUUUUAAGUCGGAUGUGAAAUCCCCGAGCUUAACUUGGGAAUUGCAUUCGAUACUGGGAAGCUAGAGUAUGGGAGAGGAUGGUAGAAUUCCAGGUGUAGCGGUGAAAUGCGUAGAGAUCUGGAGGAAUACCGAUGGCGAAGGCAGCCAUCUGGCCUAAUACUGACGCUGAGGUACGAAAGCAUGGGGAGCAAACAGGAUUAGAUACCCUGGUAGUCCAUGCCGUAAACGAUGUCUACUAGCCGUUGGGGCCUUUGAGGCUUUAGUGGCGCAGCUAACGCGAUAAGUAGACCGCCU
rnacentral:rRNA from 1 species